rnacentral:rRNA from 1 species
UGGUGGAGUGAUUUGUCUGGUUAAUUCCGAUAACGAACGAGACCUUAACCUGCUAACUAGUGUUGCUAAUUUUAUUAUUGGUACAACUUCUUAGAGGGACUGAGUACAAUAUAGUACUUGGAAGUUUGAGGCAAUAACA